AACGAAAGUGCUCAAUUCUGUUAAGUUCCAAAUUUUUAAUUUGAGAUAAAAAAUUCUAAUUUUGAAUUUAGGGUAAAGGAUCAGUCGAAUUUGAUCUGAUAAUGGAAUCAUCUCCGUCGUCAUCUUCUAUAAUAACACCAGAAGAUGUACUAGAAUCGCUCAUGAACGAUGGCACCAUUGAUGCUCUCCGGUUAAAGGUCAUUAAUCAGCUCAAAGCCAAUGAAGAGCUGACGAAUACCACUAUUAAAAUGGCGGAACAAAGCAAGGUUUUGAAUACACCUGGAGCUGAGAAGCAGACCAAAAGAGAGUUGUUUGAUUCGCUUCGGCAGGAACUUGAAACUCCAGUACUUGAGAAGGCCUCUAGAUCAGUGUGGGAAGUGAUUCUAGACAACAAUGGGAUGGGGAAAGAAAUAAGUGAAACCGUUGAAAGAGUCUUCUGUAGAUUAAGUGGCAGAGAACCUCCGUUAUUUCCACCUCAGAAUGCUGAAACCCAUUUAAGUAAAGAAAAUAACAACAAGGGACGGGAAGGAAAAGAAGUGGAAAGUGAAUAUCAAAAGGAAAAGUCAAACUCAAGUUCAAAGAAAAGGCGGUAUAUUGAGAUGAACAUGGAGGGAGGGGGAAGUGAACUUGCAAUACAAAGCGCAAAUGAAGUUACAGGGAAACCCGGCGAACCGGAAUUUCAACAUGAAAGCUCUAAUAAGUCAUCUCCACCAAAUUGAUAUAUUUGACCACUUGAUUGACACUACCUGUGCAUUAAAAGAAGCAAUUUUCUCCCUGCUUGUAGGUUUUCAUAACCUCAAGUUCAACGAAUGAUUAUUUGCAACAACAUAGGAUGAGCUCUCAAAGGCGCCCAUCAGCUAAACCUGAUGUAUCAUUCUUACUGGCUCCAUCUAUGCCUUUUGUGGCUUCCAUUGUUAUUCUGAUGACUUGUACAGUAUUCAAGUUGCCUGAGAUGGUAUUAAAUGUAAUGUGAGUUUACCGUGGUUGGACCUGAUCUAAGGCGCUGGCAUGGGGCAGCUUUCUCCAUGGCCAUCGAAUUCAAUAUAGUACUUAAGUUUUUGGCAGGUUCUACAGGCUACAUCUAUGUAGCACGAAAACGGAAAUUCUGAAACAAGAAACGGCAAAAUCUCAGGUGCCUGCUGCUUUCUGUUUGUAAAAAAUGUGCUUGGGAGACCAACUUGCUGAAGAAUGAUAUGCAUUCUACCUUCAAAUUAUUUACUUCUUUUUGAACUGGUGCUCUCUUUCUAAUCUUAUGUAGGAAUGUGCUCAACUCAAAUCGAAUUAUCGAAGUGAACCAAUGAAUUCAAUUCAGUUUGACACUAUAAAAAUAUUUAGUUCUCUGGUUCAA